UUAACAAUAAAAAAUUAAGAGCUUGUCACCACUAAAUGAACAGCUAUCCUCUAUUACUCUGUAAUAUUUUGUUUCUUUUUCUUUCUGGAAGGUGCAAGUAACAACAAUGAAUCCAUGCCUGCGUAUGGCAUCGCCCUGAUUGUCAUGUUUGCUGUGUUUCUGUGCUUGAUCCCAAUACUGUGCAUUAUAGGCUUUAGAUUUGAAUUCUGGCAAAUGCUUUUGGAGGCCUGUGCAGGAACCUAUAAUUGAAACGACGAUUAAAAUAAUUUGAAAGAAGGCUCUCCUGGUGAACACGAACGAAUGAAAAGAAUGCAGAAGAGAAUUUGAAAAACAGAACAAAUGUAAAAAGACCCAGUAUUCUUUUAAUGCAAUGAAACUAAAUAUAUGGU